AUGGCCACCUGGCAGGAAUCCGUGACAUCAUCCAUCUUGGAGUCUAAAGUUCAACCACAAUCUUCUGUAAUCUCAAAACUGACUGGUGCUGGAGACCUAGGGGUAAAACCCCUACCCCUUGGGCACCCCAAAAGGGGAAAUCUGUGGAGGGAAGGGAACAGGAAGUUUUCAUGGCUGGGAGAGAUUCUGAGAAGACUUUCCCAGGCAGCCCUGAUGGGUACACAAGGAAUUACAGGGCCAAAGAGGAGUUGUGGUCGGCUCCUGUGUGCCUCUGUGUGCUUUCCAAAUGGUGACAGUGAACCCGUGUUGCAUAAGGAAACUUUCAAACUUACAGAAGAGUGGAGAGACUCGCACAAAGAUGCCAUUACCCGUUACCAGCCUCAUCAGUCAGCAAUGUGGAGUCCCCUCCUGAAUGAGGGGGUUUGAGGGCCUCUGGAAACUCCAAGACUGGUAUCACAUUUUUUCAGUCUGAGCAAGUCCUGGGCUAAUCCAGAUUCAAGGGGGAAAUAGAAACCAGCUCUCCAGGGGAGGAGCGGCAAAGUCGCAUUGCAAAGGGUAUGAUGUGGAGGACAUGAACUAUUGUGAUCAUUAAAAAAAAUCUAUUUACAUGCUGUUUUUAUUUUACAGUAGUUAGAUUUACAAAAAAAAAGUUGCAAAGAUGAUACAGGGAGUUCCUAUAUACCCCUGUACCCAGUUUCCCCUAUUGGUAAUAGCUUAUAUUACUAUGGCACAUUUGUCAUAACUAAAGAACCAAUAGUGAUGCAUUGCUAUCAGCUAAACUCCAUACUUUAUUCAGAUUUCAUUAGUUCUUCCUCAAUGUCUUGUUUCUGUUCCAGGAUCCCAUCCAGAAUACCAUAAUAUACUUAAUCAUCUUAGCUCCCUUAGUUCAGCUUCUCUUGGUUGUGACAGUUUCUCAGACAUCCCUUGUAUUCGAUUCUUUGACAGUUUUGAGAUAUGUUGGUCAGGGUUUUUUUUGUAGAUGGUCCCUCAAUUAGGGUUUGUUGGGUGUUUUUCCCAUGUUUGAAUGGCAUUCUGGGUUUUGAGGAAGAAGACCAUAGAAGUGAAGUGUCCUUUUCAAUACAGGGCAUCAAGAGAACGUGCUGUCGACAUCAUUUACCAUUAAGGAUGUUAACCUUAAUCACCUAGUUAAGAUAGUAGUUGCCAGAUUUUGCCGCUGAAAUGUUAGUUACUCUUUUUCUUCCCUUUCCAUCUUGUUCUCUGUAAAAGGAAGUCACUGUGCACAGCCCACGCUUAAGAUGAAGAGUUACUCUCUGCCUCCUUAAGGGAACAGUACAUAAGUUAUUUGGCAUUCUGUUAUUUGUUUAUUCAGUCACUUAUUAGAUCAAUGUGGACUCAUUGGUAUUUGAUUAUACUUUGUACCAUCAUCUAAUACUAUGUUAUCUGUUUUUUUGCUCACAUUGUUCCAGUUUGGGCUAUUACGAUGAGUGUUGUGGCCUUGUGACAUACCCUCAUCAUUUUUUGCUUGUUUUUAUUUUUGUUUUUGAGCACUUUCUUACUUCCUGGCACUGUAAAAGCAUCCAAGUUCAUCUAUUUUAUUUUCUGCGCCAGCUCUAGAAUCAGCCAUUUCUCCAAGGAGCCUGUUUCCUUUUGUUGGAGAAUGGUAUUAAAAAUCAAGAUCUGGGUGCUGAGUAUGCCUGUUACAACUGGGGCCCAUUCUCAGUGGGUGCCGUGUGCACACACACACACACACACACACACACACUAACCUAUAUAUACAAAUCACUGUGACUAUUUCUAUAUCUAUCCAUUAGUAUCUAUACUAAGCUAAACAUGAAUUCAUGCUAAUGGCUCCAACUCACAUCCAUUCAUAGUGUUCAUUCUAUCUUUCUCCCCUUGCUUAUCUAUAAUCCCCCACUUCAACAGUGAGACGCCUGCUCCCACCAUCUGGUGCCCUAAUUUAUGUAAUUGUUCAAUUCUAGCACACAUGCACAAGAGUUUCAGAAUUAUCAACCCAUACUCCUGUGAGGAGUAACUUUGCAACUAGAGUACAGUGCUUAUGGACAGUUCUUUGGUCUUUAGUCUUGUUUCCAGUUAUUCCUAAGUUAUUUAGAUCUGCACAUCAUGCAGUGAGACUAUGUCAUACCUUUGUAAUAUAGUUAAAUUCUUUUAUAA
rnacentral:lncRNA from 1 species